rnacentral:rRNA from 1 species
UACGUAGGGGGCAAGCGUUGUCCGGAUUUACUGGGCGUAAAGAGCGCGUAGGCGGAGAGUUAAGCGUGCCUUGAAAGCCCCCGGCUCAACCGGGGAAGGUGGGUGCGAAUUGGCUUUCUUGAGGGCGAUAGAGGGGGGCGGAAUUCCUGGUGUAGCGGUGAAAUGCGUAGAGAUCAGGAGGAACACCCGUGGCGAAGGCGGCUACCUGGACCAGCACUGACACUGAGGCACGAAAGCGUGGGGAGCAAACAGG